rnacentral:rRNA from 1 species
GAGUUUUACCUUGGCUCGGAAUGACGGCUACGGCCUUCCUUACCACAUGCAAUCGAAGGAGAAAUUCCUUAAAUGAUUUUUCGAGUUGAUUUUAAGAAGGAAAGCGGGGAACGGGUGAGUACGCGUUGGCAACCCUCCUCUCACAACGGAUAGCCCACUGGAAAACGGUGAUUAAAACUUCAUAAACCCCACUCUGAGACAUCUCAGGAAUGGCCAAAGAUUUAUCGGUGAGAGAUGGGCGUGCGUCUGAUUAGCUUGUUGGCGGGGUAACAGCCCACCAAGGCGAUGAUCAGUAGCCGACCUGAGAGGGUGAUCGGCCACAUUGGAACUGAGACACGGUCCAAACUCCUACGGGAGGCAGCAGUGGGGAAUAUUGCACAAUGGGCGAAAGCCUGAUGCAGCAACGCCGCGUGAAGGAUGAAGGCCUUCGGGUAGUAAACUUCUGUCCUUGCGGAAGAAGAACUGACGGUACCCUUGGAGGAAGCCCCGGCUAACUACGUGCCAGCAGCCGCGGUAAUACGUAGGGGGCAAGCGUUAUCCGGAAUUAUUGGGCGUAAAGUGUGCGUAGGUGGUCCUUUACGCGCAGGGUUUAAGGCAAUGGCCCAACCAUUGUUUGCCCUGCGAACUGGAGGACUUGAGUGCAGGAGAGGAAAGCGGAAUUCCUAGUGUAGCGGUGAAAUGCGUAGAUAUUAUGAGGAACACCAGUGGUGAAGGCGGCCCCCUGGACGAAGACUGACGCUCAGGUGCGAAAGCGUGGGGAGCAAACAGGAUUAGAUACCCUGGUAGUCCACGCCGUAAACGAUGUCGACUUGGAGGUUGUGCCCUUGAGGCGUGGCUUCCGGAGCUAACGCGUUAAGUCGACCGCCUGGGGAGUACGGCCGCAAGGUUAAAACUCAAAUGAAUUGAUGGGGGCCCGCACAAGCGGUGGAGCAUGUGGUUUAAUUCGAUGCAACGCGAAGAACCUUACCUGGUCUUGACAUCCACGGAAGUUUUCAGAGAUGAGAAUGUGCCUUCGGGAACCGUGAGACAGGUGCUGCAUGGCUGUCGUCAGCUCGUGUUGUGAAAUGUUGGGUUAAGUCCCGCAACGAGCGCAACCCUUAUCCUUUGUUGCCAGCGGUCCGGCCGGGAACUCAAAGGAGACUGCCAGUGAUAAACUGGAGGAAGGUGGGGAUGACGUCAAGUCAUCAUGGCCCUUACGACCAGGGCUACACACGUGCUACAAUGGCGCAUACAAAGAGAAGCGACCUCGCGAGAGCAAGCGGACCUCAUAAAGUGCGUCGUAGUCCGGAUUGGAGUCUGCAACUCGACUCCAUGAAGUCGGAAUCGCUAGUAAUCGUGGAUCAGAAUGCCACGGUGAAUACGUUCCCGGGCCUUGUACUCACCGCCCGUCA